rnacentral:rRNA from 1 species
UACGUAGGUGGCAAGCGUUGUCCGGAAUUAUUGGGCGUAAAGCGCGCGCAGGCGGCCUCUUAAGUCUGAUGUGAAAGCCCCCGGCUCAACCGGGGAGGGCCAUUGGAAACUGGGAGGCUUGAGUAUAGGAGAGAAGAGUGGAAUUUCCACGUGUAGCGGUGAAAUGCGUAGAGAUGUGGAGGAACACCAGUGGCGAAGGCGACUCUUUGGCCUAUAACUGACGCUGAGGCGCGAAAGCGUGGGGGAGAAACAGG